CACACGUGCUACAAUGGCGUAAACAGAGGGAAGCGAGCCUGCGAGGGGGAGCGAAUCCCAAAAAUAACGUCCCAGUUCGGAUUGUAGUCUGCAACCCGACUACAUGAAGCUGGAAUCGCUAGUAAUCGCGGAUCAGAAUGCCGCGGUGAAUACGUUCCCGGGUCUUGUACACACCGCCCGUCAAGCCAUGAGAGUCACCAACACCCGAAGUCCGCUUUGGCGGCCUAAGGUGGGGGAGAUGAUUGGGGUUAAGUCGUAACAAGGUAGC
rnacentral:rRNA from 1 species